GGCAGCUGUACUAUCCAUACACCCCUCUCCAGUCAAUGUGUAUUUAAUCACUAGAGUAUGAAGAAUGUAAUGUCUUUCCCACUUGAAAUAUUUUAAGCGCCAAUUCAGCAACUUUAGGCUUUUUUGAAGAGAAACUAAGAGAUGUUAUUGCAGCAUGUUGUCCCAGGGACUCUUCAGAGGUGGUAGUGUCGUGAUAUUUGAGACAAUGAGUCUGUCUGGAUCUGGUUCAGUUGACAUGGGGUCCCUUGGCAGGCAGCUGAGGUUCUGUCUUCCAUUAAUUGUACCUGGCAGCGUGGCAAAGCUGCUUCCGCACUUGGAAGACCAAUUCACUCCAAGAAUGACUCAAGAAUGUUGCUGAUCUUUCCCAGGCAUUAGUUGUGAAUAUAUGAUGGAACAGAUGAGGAGCAGAUGAAAUUUAAGAUGAGAUUCUUACAUUAUCCACAGGUGCUGUGUACGGUGAAGAGAAUGUCAAGACAAGAUGCAGGAGGCACUCCAAGGAGCAGAAACCUGUCCAGUGGCUCUGAGCAUAGGUGGCUCAGAGUUUAGAAAGGAUGGCCUUUAACACUGAAAGCUGUGUUUACAGAAGCUUCUCAUUUCCAAAAGGAAUGUGAUAAAAGAGGGAGAAGAAGUAGUGCAGUGUUGGAGAGCACCAGCAGCUGGAGAGUCACCUCUUAUCUUCUUGAUCAGCUACAAGCAAGCACUGAGCAGUGUGUGCUUUGAUAGAAGGGGGUAAUAGCAUGGAAAAGAUUUGAUCCAGUAGAGGGAGAUGAGGAAUCAAAUAUGAAAAUACUACAGAGGUCGUAAGUCAGCAAAAUAUAUUUUUCUGCAAUGUGUUAAACAGUUUUCUAGGGAAAGAAAGUAGGCGCAUUGAAAUCAGGAAGAGGAAGCUUCAGAUGUAGAGGUGAGACAAUGAAAACUUGAAUCAGAGCUUCACCAAAGGAAAAGGCAGUCUGCAGGUAGAAUGAACAUGAUUUGUGUUGAACAGGUUGCCUCUUCUCCAGCCAGCUGUGUGCAUUAAAGAUAAGACUGCUUUUGCCAUUCACAGGUUACUCCUCUUACAAAAGUACUGAAAAUUUCCAUGCCGGUUGUUAUUUAGAAAGAGAUGCAAUUAAGGAAAUCCAAUUAUUUCAGUUCCCUCUGUUUUGCUUCCUCUUAUUGCUAAAAUUAGUUCCUCUGCUAGAAUCUGCAAGCUUUUGCAACUUCUGUUUUACUCGUUAUUCCCGAUGUAACCAUUAUGUCAGCAUAAAAAUCCUCUCAGCUUGCACAGUGCUUUUCUAUAGUUCUGAAAUCCUGUGAGAAGAUUUUUGUUCAGGAACCUAAAACUUUAAGGCUAUCCAAACUGUGUUUCUGAAUUUUUAUCUUCUUUUUUAUGUCACUACUAAAAGCAAAAGCUCACACAACUCUAGGGCGUUCUUUAAUUAACCCUCAUCUAACUCCCACUCAUGUUCACAGAAAUAUUUCCUUUCAUGUCAGUGAACCUGAUCUGAGUAAAGUUAAAGCCUUGAUAAUACCAAUCUUACUUCAGCAAUAUUAAGGAUUGUUGUAAUAUGAGCCAAAAACGAGCAAAGAAAAUCAGGAAGUUUCCUGGUGGUGCAAAACUGGGGGGAGUCAGAGAUACACCUGAAAGCUCUGCUGCAAUUCCAUAGAACCUUGAAAAGCCAGAGAGUUGCAUGGAGAGAAACUUCAUGAGGUUUAAAAAAAGCUGAAUGCAGGGUUCUGCAUGUGGGGAGGAAUAACCCCAAGUCCCAGCACAGUUUGAGGGGUGACCUUCUGGAGAGCAGCUCUGCAGAGAAGCACCAGGGAGUCUUGGUGGGUGACAAGGUGACCAUGAGCCAGCAGUGUGUCCUUGUGGCCAGCAGGGCCAGUGGUACUCUGUGUGGCCAGGAGGUUGAGGGAGGUGACCCUGCCCCUCUGCUCAGCCCUGGUGAAGCCCCACCUGCAGUGCUGUGUUCAGUUCUGGGCUCCUUAGGACAAAAAUGACAAAGAGCUACUGAAGAAAGUCCAGUGAAGGAACACAAAGAUGAUGAGCGGUCUGCAGCAUCUCUCUUAUGAGGAGAGACUGCAGGAGCUGGGCCUGUUCAGUCUGGAGAAGACUGAGAGGGGAUCUCAUUAAUGCACAUAAAUAUCUCAAAACUGGUGCCAAGAGGAGUGCCAGACUCUUUUCGUUGGUCCCCAGUGACAGGGGAAGGAGUAAAGGCCAUAAAGUAAAAUGCAAGAAGUUCCACCUCAACAUGAAGUAAAAUUUCUUCACACUGAGAGUGGCAGAGCCGCAGAACAGGCUGCCCAGGGAGGUUGUGGAGUCUCCUUCUCUGGAACAUUCCAACCCCACCUGGGUGAGUUUCUGUGUCACCUCCUGUGGGUGCUUUUACCUUGGCAGGGGGCUUGGACUGGAUCAUCUCCAGGGGUCCCCUCCAACCCUCACUGUUCUGUGAAUGCCUAUUUCAAUAUACUACACAGAAAUUUACUGCACAGCAGACAUUACUGAGGAUUUUCCAAGUACAGUUUUCCAAUCUCUGUUUAACAUAAGCUGUAGAUGUGUUAGAUUCAUGCUUGUGAUAUGUAAGCUAUGAUGAAAGAAACAACCCCUCUGGUUUGAAAGGACAGGGAAGCUGACAGCACAUGCCACGCCAGAGGGAGAUGAUUAGCCAGAGGAACUGUAAGCACCUGGAGCCAGUUGUCUUUUCUAGAGGAGCCAGUGCCCAAGAGGAGUCAACACUCAAGUUGUCCUAGGGAAGAAAGGUAAGAUGCCUUUGACUUUGUUUGGUUUACUGGCUUGUUUCCUUAACAAGAUGAGAACAGAAGUCAACUUUGAGCCAUGAAUUUUUAAAAAUAAAUUUAAAAAAGACUAUUUUGUAUUGUUUUUCCCCCUCAGUUUUCACUCUCAGGUAGAAAUGAAAUUGUUCAGAUUCUGCUGAUGUUUUUGUUACUGGAAAGCAUAGAUGUGGCAACCCAGUGGCUAGCAAGCUAACCUAGGGAAGGGGCAAGAUAGUAUAAGAUGAUAUUGCUACUCUUAUUGUUAUAGGCUCUUCAGACUGAGGAUCCAAAUUAUAAUGUUAUGGCAGUAUUUAUAAAAAAAUUCCGUAUUUUCCAUCAAUCUGGCACAUGGGGCUAUGGAGAUAAAGGUGACAUAGGAGGGUGUGUCUUUAAGCCAUGGGCUGAAGUUUCUCUUUUUCCUCCAGCAACAAUACAAUGAGGAAGGUGAGUAAAGCUGAGGCUGUGAUUCUGCAGUUUAUUUGCACUGACGAGCACAGGCUGCUGCCAAAGACACAGAGCAGCACAUUUUGACAGCAAGCUGCCCUUAUACUUAGAGUCAUGGAAUUACAGAAUAGAUCCACAAUGAUCAUCAAAGUCCAUCUCCUGGCCCUGCAUAGGAUUCCACCCUGUGCCUGAGAGUGUUGUCCAAAUGCUCCUUGAAUUCUGUCAGGUUGGUGCUGUGACCACUUCCCUGGGGACCCUGUUCCCCAGCGUGAAGAGCCCUUUUCUGAUAUCCAAACUAAACCUCCUCAGACACAACUUCAGGCCAUUCCCUCAGGCUCUGAGACUGUCACCACAGAGAAAAGAUCAGUCCCUGCCCCUCCUCUUCCCCUCAUGAGGAAGUUGCAGACUGCAAUGAGGUCACCCCCCAUAAUUAAUUCUGUUAGUUUAGGCUUACUUAUUGACAGGAAAUGGGGUAUUACUCUGGCUUGCACGUGAAAAGCAGCAAAACUCACAAAGGUAACAUAUAACUCCCGAAGUACAUAGGCAAUCUUAUCUUACCUGCUAAACCCAAUUUUUGCAUAAAUUUGGUGAUGAACAUCAUCCAUCACAAUGCUUUGGAGAACACUGAAUGCCUGGACAUGGUGGUACCACGUGCCACCAUUCCUGCUGUGCUCAGGCAAUGGGACCCAGUCAAGUGACAAGUUCCAGCCUUUCUCCCUUUCUUAAUAUGAAUACUCUGUCUGCAGGAAAUAGGGAUGAAGAACUUCAGCUCUGAUCACUGCUGAUGGUUCCAAAUCUUCCUGUCACUGUGCUAACUCCAAAGAUCACAUCUUCAUGAGCAUGAUGCCACCAGUUCAGACAGAUGCACAGACUUCAGGAGAGGUCAUUUGAAUGUUUACGGAUGUGGCCGCCCUAUAGACCAAAAUGUGGGAAAAAUGCUGAAAAAUGGGAACCAGCAGCACAGGCUUACUCACACCAUCCUCACAGCAUUGCCCAUCUGGACUUGGUCAGAGGGAAAAACAAGGGAAAUGUUGAUCCUUGUCCCG